AACGCUAGCUACAGGCUUAACACAUGCAAGUCGAGGGGAAACGAUAUUGGAAGCUUGCUUCCGAUAGGCGUCGACCGGCGCACGGGUGAGUAACGCGUAUCCAACCUGCCCAUCACUUGGGAAUAACCUUGCGAAAGUAAGACUAAUGCCCAAUGACAUUUAUAGAAGGCAUCCGAAGUGAAUUAAAGAUUUAUCGGUGAUGGAUGGGGAUGCGUCUGAUUAGCUUGUUGGCGGGGUAACGGCCCACCAAGGCGACGAUCAGUAGGGGUUCUGAGAGGAAGGUCCCCCACAUUGGAACUGAGACAUGGUCCAAACUCCUACGGGAGGCAGCAGUGAGGAAUAUUGGUCAAUGGGCGAGAGCCUGAACCAGCCAAGUAGCGUGCAGGAAGACGGCCCUAUGGGUUGUAAACUGCUUUUAUAAGGGAAUAAAGUGAGUCUCGUGAGACUUUUUGCAUGUACCUUAUGAAUAAGGACCGGCUAAUUCCGUGCCAGCAGCCGCGGUAAUACGGAAGGUCCGGGCGUUAUCCGGAUUUAUUGGGUUUAAAGGGAGCGUAGGCCGGAGAUUAAGCGUGUUGUGAAAUGUAGACGCUCAACGUCUGCACUGCAGCGCGAACUGGUUUCCUUGAGUACGCACAAAGUGGGCGGAAUUCGUGGUGUAGCGGUGAAAUGCUUAGAUAUCACGAAGAACUCCGAUUG
rnacentral:rRNA from 1 species